CACAGGUAGCAAUACUGGGUGACGACCGGGACAGAGCGUAACACGUAUAUAAUCUGCCCUUAUCUGGAGGAUAGCCCGGAGAAAUUCGGAUUAAUACUCCAUAACAUUGCGCUGUGGCAUCACAGUGCAAUUAAAGCUCAGGCGGAUAAGGAUGAAUAUGCGACUGAUUAGUUUGUUGGUGAGGUAACGGCUCACCAAGACUACGAUCAGUAGGGGUACUGAGAGGUUAAACCCCCACACUGGUACUGAGACACGGACCAGACUCCUACGGGAGGCAGCAGUAAGGAAUAUUGGACAAUGGAGGCAACUCUGAUCCAGCCAUGCCGCGUGCAGGAAGAAGGCGCUACGCGUUGUAAACUGCUUUUAUAACAGAGAAAACCUAUGUUCGUGUACGUAGUUGAUAGUAUGUUAAGAAUAAGCAUCGGCUAACUUCGUGCCAGCAGCCGCGGUAAUACGAAGGAUGCAAGCGUUAUCCGGAUUUAUUGGGUUUAAAGGGAGCGUAGGCGGUCUUAUAAGUCAGUGGUGAAAUCUCGUUGCUUAACAACGAACGUGCCAUUGAUACUGUAGGACUUGAGUACAGUUGCCGUUGGCGGAAUGUGUCAUGUAGCGGUGAAAUGCAUAGAUAUGACACAGAACACCGAUUGCGAAGGCAGCUGACGAAACUGUAACUGACGCUGAGGCUCGAAAGCGUGGGGAUCAAACAGGAUUAGAUAUUUUUGUUUGUCCACGCCCUAAACUAUGAUUACUCGCUGUCGGCGAUUAUACCGCCCGUAGCUUAGCGAAAGGCGGUUAAGUAAUCCACCUGGGGGAGUACGCUCGCCAAGGGUGAAACUCCAAAGGAAAUUGACGGGGGCCCGCACCACCGGAGGAGCCAUUGUGGUUUAAUUCCGAUGGAACGCGAAGGAACUCUCACCCGGGCCUUGAAGUUAGUGCGACCGUCUCUGAAAGGGAAACUUUUUCCAAAAAACACAAAAAUAAGGUGCUGAUGGGU
rnacentral:rRNA from 1 species